rnacentral:lncRNA from 1 species
AUUUAAUCAUAAAACUGGUGGUUCCUUAUCACAGAUAUUAUUACAAUAAAUCAUUCUUAACAUGUUACCAACAGCCAAUCAUGAUUCUCUGAUAAAACUGAAGCAAAGUGAAAAUGCAGUGUAGCCUGAUUCAACUAAUCAUGAUUCUCUGUUUAAACUAAGGCAGAGUGAAAAUGCAGUGUAGCCUGAUAACUAAGCAAAUUGCAGUGUAGCCACAACUAAUCAUGUGUUCUCUGUUUAAACUAAGGCAGAGUAUUACAAUGCAGUGUAGCCUGAUUCAACUAAUCAUGAUUCUCUGUUUAAACUGAGGCAGAGUGCGAAUGUUAUGUAGCACCAUAGUUCUUGGUUUAAAAUGAAACAGUUUGUCAUUGGCUGUCUUGUUUAUUUUGGUUUUUCUGAUUUUUUUCUUUUCCUUUCCAAUAAUCAGCUGUUUUAAAAAAGAGACACAGGCGUUUGAUGGCUAAAGGCAGUAUAAGAAUCUAAAAUGAUGUAUAUUGUGUGCCACACUGGUCAAAUAGGUUCACAUGCUAAACAUCUGAUAACAAUCAGUUGAAAUCUACUGCAAGAAAAAUUCUUGCCAUAUAAUAAAGUCUGUUAUACUUGAUAACUAAAAUGAGGCAUAUAAUUAAAAUACUAUAGUCAAUGUCAUUUGAACCUGUCCUAAGUCAGGAACCUGAUGUUCAGUGGUUGUGGUUUGUUGAUGUGGUUCAUAAGUGUUUAAUGUUUCUCGUUUUAUAGAUUGAUGAGACUGUUGGUUUUCCUGUUUGAAUGGUUUUACAGUAAUUAAUUUUGGGGCCCUUAAUAGCUUGCUGUGUAAGCCAAGGCUAUGUGUUGAAGGCUGUACCUUGACCUAUAAUUAAUUUUACAAAUUGUGACUGUGAUGGAGAGUUGUCUCAUUCACACUCAUACCACAUCUUUUUAUAUCUAUGUAUAUUAAACAUUAUUAUAAGUUUUUCAUAUCUUAGAACAGUAUUUUAGAGCAGUACAAUUUCAAGUACAAUUUCACAUGAAACAGAUUGUUUUGUUUUCUCCCUUAUUCAUAAUUCUUAAUUUUUGGUAUCCAGUUAUGGGAAAUAAUUUUAUAUAAACAUUUGCAUUUAAACAUUCAGUGGAAGGAUUCCUUUGCAAAUCAUAUAAUAAACAGCUACAGUAAUGAACACAUUAAGAAUACACAUAACAAUAUUCCAAUAGUGAUACAACAGCUAUAUAUAUAUGUAUAGCUACUUUUGUAGGAGAGCAUUGUUUUCUUGUGUUGGGGCUCCAUCCAUUACCAGUGGCGGAUCCAGAACUUUUCCUAUGGGGGGGGGGCCCGCUCCAGUCAUGCUUCAAUAAUUCCCUAUAUAAUCAACCAAAUUUUUCCCACGAAAGGGGGAGCCCGUGCCCCCCUGGAUCCGCCUAUGAUUACAGCACACUUAAUCCUGCUUAAACGUGGUUAGAAUCAGUAGUAUAAAACUAGUAACAGUAUAAUUAACCAGCAAAUAAAACAAAACAAAAUACUCAUUUG